UGAGGAACAUGACUUUCGGUGGGGGAGUAGCCGGCCCCAACGGCCGGGUAAUACCGCGUACGACCUCUUGGGGACAUCCCCGAGUGGUGAAAGCAGCAAUGCGCCGAAAGAGUGCCUCGCGGCCUAUCAGCUAGUUGGUGGGGUAAUGGCUCACCAAGGCAACGACGGGUAGCUGGUCCGAGAGGGCGACCGGCCACACUGGGACUGAGAUACGGCCCAGACUCCUACGGGAGGCAG
rnacentral:rRNA from 1 species